rnacentral:tRNA from 1 species
GGUUUUGUGGUGUAGUUGGUUAACGCACCCCGUCGAGUAAAUUGGGGAAUCAUGGGUUCAAAUCCCACCAGAACUA